rnacentral:lncRNA from 1 species
GAUGUAAGGCAGUUUUUCCCAACCCCGGUCCUCCGGUUCCCUCGACAGCACAGCGUUUCCCAAUCCCGGUCCUCCAGUUCCCUCGACAGCACAGCGUUUCCCAACCCCGGUCCUCCAGUUCCCUCGACAGCACAGCGUUUCCCAACCCCGGUCCUCCAGGUUCCCUCGACAGCACAGCGUUUCCCAAACCCGGUCCUCCAGGUUCCCUCGACAGCACAGCGUUUCCCAACCCCGGUCCUCCGGUUCCCUCGACAGCACAGCGUUUCCCAACCCCGGUCCUCCGGUUCCCUCGGCAGCACAGCGUUUCCCAACCCCGGUCCUCCGGUCCCCUCGGCAGCACAGCGUUUCCCAACCCCGGUCCUCCGGUCCCCUCGGCAGCACAGCGUUUCCCAACCCCGGUCCUCCGGUUCCCUCGGCAGCACAGCGUUUCCCAACCCCGGUCCUCCGGUUCCCUCGGCAGCACAGCGUUUCCCAACCCCGGUCCUCCGGUUCCCUCGGCAGCACAGCGUUUCCCAACCCCGGUCCUCCGGUUCCCUCGGCAGCACAGCGUUUCCCAACCCCGGUCCUCCGGUUCCCUCGGCAGCACAGCGUUUCCCAACCCCGGUCCUCCGGUUCCCUCGGCAGCACAGAGUUUCCCAAGCCCAGUCCUCCAGUACCUCCACAGCACAGUGUUUCCCAACCCUGGUCCUCCAGUUCCCUCCACAGCACAGCGUUUCCCAACCCCGGUCCUCCGGUUCCCUCCACAGCACAGCGUUUCUCAACCCCGGAUCUCCAGUUCCCUCGGCAGCACAGUGUUUCCCAACCCCGGUCCUCCAGUACCUCCACAGCACAGUGUUUCCCAACCCCGGUCCUCCGGUUCCCUCGGCAGCACAGUGUUUCCCAACCCCGGUCCUCCGGUUCCCUCCACAGCACAGCGUUUCUCAACCCCGGAUCUCCAGUUCCCUCCACAGCACAGCGUUUCCCAACCCCGGUCCUCCGGUUCCCUCCACAGCACAGCGUUUCUCAACCCCGGAUCUCCAGUUCCCUCGGCAGCACAGUGUUUCCCAACCCCGGUCCUCCGGUUCCCUCCACAGCACAGCGUUUCCCAACCCCGGUCCUCCAGUACCUCCACAGCACAGUGUUUCCCAACCCCGGUCCUCCGGUUCCCUCGGCAGCACAGUGUUUCCCAACCCUGGUCCUCCAGUACCUCCACAGCACACAUUUUUAUUCCAACGCUGGACAAGCAUACCUGAUUCAACUUCUCAACUAAUCAUCAAGCCCUCAAUGUGUUGA